AAUCAAAUGAAUAAGGGCUUAUGGUGGAUACCUAGGCACCCAGAGCCGAAGAAGGGCGUAGUAACCAACGAAAAGUUUCGGGGAGCUGGAAACACGCUUUGAUCCGGAAAUUCCCGAAUAGGGCAACCUCUUGUACUCCUUAUUGAAUUCAUAGAUAAGUGAGAGUUAACCUAGUGAAUUGAAACAUCUUAGUAGCUAGAGGAAAAGAAAGCAAACGCGAUUCCCUUAGUAGCGGCGAGCGAACGGGGACUUAAGCCUAAACCGAAAUUUUUUUCGGGGUAGUGGGCUAGCCACAAAUCAGAAAAACUCAAAGAAAGUUAGGUGAAACAGCUGAAUACUGUACCAUAGAUGGUGAAAGUCCAGUAACUGAAAACAAUUCCUUGAUGUUAGACUGUUAUUUCAACUUGUUUAAAAUAACAGGGCUAGAUCCCGAGUAGCAUGGGGCACGUGAAAUCCCGUGUGAAUCCGCGAGGACCACCUCGUAAGGCUAAAUACUCCUGGGUGACCGAUAGUGAAACAGUACCGUGAGGGAAAGGUGAAAAGAACCCCCGUCGGGGAGUGAAAAAGAACAUGAAACCAUAAGCUUACAAGCAGUGGGAGGGGUUCAACCCUGACCGCGUGCCUGUUGAAGAAUGAGCCGGCGACUUAUAGGCAGUGGCUUGGUUAAAGCUGAUAAGGCUGGAGCCGUAGCGAAAGCAAGUUUGAAUAGGGCGAAAUGUCCCUGUCUAUAGACCCGAACCCGGGUGAUCUAACCAUGGCCAGGAUGAAGCUUUGGUAAUACGAAGUGGAAGACCGAACUCACCGAUGUUGAAAAAUCGGGAGAUGAGCUGUGGUUAGGGGUGAAAUACCAAUCGAACUCGGAGCUAGCUGGUUCUCCCCGAAAUGCGUUUAGGCGCAGCGGUUAAUUAUGAGCUGUCUAGGGGUAAAGCACUGUUUCGGUGCGGGCUGCGAAAGCGGUACCAAAUCGUAGCAAACUCAGAAUACUAGACAUGCCUUCUAUUAGCCAGUGAGACAGUGGGGGAUAAGCUUCAUUGUCAAGAGGGAAACAGCCCAGAUCACCAGCUAAGGCCCCUAAAUGAUUACUAAGUGGCAAAGGAGGUGAGAGUGCAGAGACAACCAGGAGGUUUGCCUAGAAGCAGCCACCCUUAAAAGAGUGCGUAAUAGCUCACUGGUCAAGCGCUCUUGCGCCGAAAAUGAACGGGACUAAGUAAUCUGCCGAAGCUGUGAAUUUAGAAGAAUAUCUUCUUUUUGGUAGGGGAGCGUUCCGCGUUAGUGUGAAGCUUGUGCGUAAGCAUUAGUGGACGAAGCGGAAGUGAGAAUGUCGGCUUGAGUAACGAAAACAUUGGUGAGAAUCCAAUGCCCCGAAAACCUAAGGGUUCCUCCGCAAGGCUCGUCCACGGAGGGUGAGUCAGGACCUAAGGCAAGGCCGAAAGGCGUAGUCGAUGGCGAACAGGUUAAUAUUCCUGUACUGUAUUUUAUGAAGUCCCGAGGGACGGAGAAGGCUAGGUUGGCCAGACGUUGGUUCCUGGUCCAGCCAUUCGAAGGUGAUGAGAGGUAGAAGAAAAAAUACCUUGAGCUAAGAGUGGUCAAUUGUAAAUAUACUACUUCGGUAGUACGUCUAUAACAACUAAUGUCAUACUUCCUAGAAAAGCUCGAACGACGUUAUGUAAAAUACACCUGUACCCGAAACCGACACAGGUAGGUAGGUAGAGUAUACCAAGGGGCGCGAGAUAACUCUCUCUAAGGAACUCGGCAAAAUGGCCCCGUAACUUCGGGAGAAGGGGUACCUCUCGGAUCUUAUUACCUCGGUAAAAGAGAAAAAGAGGGUCGCAGUGACCAGGCCCAAGCGACUGUUUACCAAAAACACAGGUCUCCGCUAAGUCGCAAGANAAUGUAUGGGGGCUGACGCCUGCCCAGUGCUGGAAGGUUAAGGAAGUUGGUUAGUUUCGACGAAGCUAGCGACCGAAGCCCCAGUGAACGGCGGCCGUAACUAUAACGGUCCUAAGGUAGCGAAAUUNCUUGUNAGGUAAGUUCUGACCCGCACGAAAGGCGUAACGAUUUGGGCACUGUCUCGGAGAGAGACUCGGUGAAAUAGAAUUNNNNNNNNNGAUGCGGACUACCUGCACCUGGACAGAAAGACCCUAUGAAGCUUUACUGUAGCCUGGAAUUGGYUUCGGG
rnacentral:rRNA from 1 species